rnacentral:rRNA from 1 species
UACGAAGGGGGCUAGCGUUGCUCGGAAUCACUGGGCGUAAAGGGCGCGUAGGCGGACUUUUAAGUCGGAGGUGAAAGCCCAGGGCUCAACCCUGGAAUUGCCUUCGAUACUGGGAGUCUUGAGUUCGGAAGAGGUUGGUGGAACUGCGAGUGUAGAGGUGAAAUUCGUAGAUAUUCGCAAGAACACCAGUGGCGAAGGCGGCUCACUGGCCCGAUACUGACGCUGAGGUGCGAAAGCGUGGGGAGCAAACAGG